rnacentral:rRNA from 1 species
AACGAACGCUGGCGGCAUGCCUAACACAUGCAAGUCGAGCGCCACGCAAGGGGAGCGGCAGACGGGAGAGUAACACGUGGGAACGUACCCUUCAGUUCGGAACAACCCAGGGAAACUUGGGCUAAUACCGAAUACGUCCGUAAGGAGAAAGAUUUAUCGCCGAAGGAUCGGCCCGCGUCUGAUUAGCUAGUUGGUGAGGUAAUGGCUCACCAAGGCGACGGUCAGUAGCUGGUCUGAGAGGAUGAUCAGCCUCACUGGGACUGAGACACGGCCCAGACUCCUACGGGAGGCAGCAGUGGGGAAUAUUGGACAACGGGCGCAAGCCUGAUCCAGCCAUGCCGCGUGGAUGAUGAAGGCCCUAGGGUUGUAAAGUCCUUUUAACGGGGAAGAUAAUGACGGUACCCGUAGAAUAAGCCCCGGCUAACUUCGUGCCAGCAGCCGCCGUAACAC